CCCUCGUCUUGUGUUGCCAACAGGUAAUGCUGGGAACUCACAAGAGACUGCCGGGGUCAACUCGGAGGAAGGUGGGGACGACGUCAAGUCAUCAUGCCCCUUAUGUCUAGGGCUGCACGCAUGCUACAAUGGCCGAUACAAAGGGCUGCGAUACCGCAAGGUGGAGCGAAUCCCAUAAAGUCGGUCUCAGUUCGGAUUGAGGUCUGCAACUCGACCUCAUGAAGUUGGAGUUGCUAGUAAUCGCGGAUCAGCAACGCCUGCGGUGAAUACGUUCCCGGGCCUUGUACACACCGCCCGUCACGUCACGAAAGUCGGUAACACCCAAA
rnacentral:rRNA from 1 species